GAAAUGCGAUAAGUAAUGUGAAUUGCAGAAUUCAGUGAAUCAUCUAAUCUUUGAACGCACAUUGCGCCCGCCAGUAUUCUGGCGGGCAUGCCUGUUCGAGCGUCAUUACAACCCUCAGGCCCCCGGGCCUGGCGUUGGGGAUCGGCGGAAGCCCCCUGCGGGCACAACGCCGUCCCCCAAAUACAGUGGCGGUCCCGCCGCAGCUUCCAUUGCGUAGUAGCUAACACCUCGCAACUGGAGAGCGGCGCGGCCACGCCGUAAAACACCCAACUUCUGAAUGUUGACCUCGAAUCAGGUAGGAAUACCCGCUGAACUUAAGC
rnacentral:misc_RNA from 1 species